CUGUGAGCUCGAUGAGUAGGGCGGGACACGUGGUAUCCUGUCUGAAUAUGGGGGGACCAUCCUCCAAGGCUAAAUACUCCUGACUGACCGAUAGUGAACCAGUACCGUGAGGGAAAGGCGAAAAGAACCCCGGCGAGGGGAGUGAAAAAGAACCUGAAACCGUGUACGUACAAGCAGUGGGAGCCUCUUUAUGGGGUGACUGCGUACCUUUUGUAUAAUGGGUCAGCGACUUAUAUUCUGUAGCAAGGUUAACCGAAUAGGGGAGCCGAAGGGAAACCGAGUCUUAACUGGGCGUUAAGUUGCAGGGUAUAGACCCGAAACCCGGUGAUCUAGCCAUGGGCAGGUUGAAGGUUGGGUAACACUAACUGGAGGACCGAACCGACUAAUGUUGAAAAAUUAGCGGAUGACUUGUGGCUGGGGGUGAAAGGCCAAUCAAACCGGGAGAUAGCUGGUUCUCCCCGAAAGCUAUUUAGGUAGCGCCUCGUGAAUUCAUCUCCGGGGGUAGAGCACUGUUUCGGCAAGGGGGUCAUCCCGACUUACCAACCCGAUGCAAACUGCGAAUACCGGAGAAUGUUAUCACGGGAGACACACGGCGGGUGCUAACGUCCGUCGUGAAGAGGGAAACAACCCAGACCGCCAGCUAAGGUCCCAAAGUCAUGGUUAAGUGGGAAACGAUGUGGGAAGGCCCAGACAGCCAGGAUGUUGGCUUAGAAGCAGCCAUCAUUUAAAGAAAGCGUAAUAGCUCACUGGUCGAGUCGGCCUGCGCGGAAGAUGUAACGGGGCUAAACCAUGCACCGAAGCUGCGGCAGCGACGCUUAUGCGUUGUUGGGUAGGGGAGCGUUCUGUAAGCCUGCGAAGGUGUGCUGUGAGGCAUGCUGGAGGUAUCAGAAGUGCGAAUGCUGACAUAAGUAACGAUAAAGCGGGUGAAAAGCCCGCUCGCCGGAAGACCAAGGGUUCCUGUCCAACGUUAAUCGGGGCAGGGUGAGUCGACCCCUAAGGCGAGGCCGAAAGGCGUAGUCGAUGGGAAACAGGUUAAUAUUCCUGUACUUGGUGUUACUGCGAAGGGGGGACGGAGAAGGCUAUGUUGGCCGGGCGACGGUUGUCCCGGUUUAAGCGUGUAGGCUGGUUUUCCAGGCAAAUCCGGAAAAUCAAGGCUGAGGCGUGAUGACGAGGCACUACGGUGCUGAAGCAACAAAUGCCCUGCUUCCAGGAAAAGCCUCUAAGCAUCAGGUAACAUCAAAUCGUACCCCAAACCGACACAGGUGGUCAGGUAGAGAAUACCAAGGCGCUUGAGAGAACUCGGGUGAAGGAACUAGGCAAAAUGGUGCCGUAACUUCGGGAGAAGGCACGCUGAUAUGUAGGUGAAGCGACUUGCUCGUGGAGCUGAAAUCAGUCGAAGAUACCAGCUGGCUGCAACUGUUUAUUAAAAACACAGCACUGUGCAAACACGAAAGUGGACGUAUACGGUGUGACGCCUGCCCGGUGCCGGAAGGUUAAUUGAUGGGGUUAGCGGUAACGCGAAGCUCUUGAUCGAAGCCCCGGUAAACGGCGGCCGUAACUAUAACGGUCCUAAGGUAGCGAAAUUCCUUGUCGGGUAAGUUCCGACCUGCACGAAUGGCGUAAUGAUGGCCAGGCUGUCUCCACCCGAGACUCAGUGAAAUUGAACUCGCUGUGAAGAUGCAGUGUACCCGCGGCAAGACGGAAAGACCCCGUGAACCUUUACUAUAGCUUGACACUGAACAUUGAGCCUUGAUGUGUAGGAUAGGUGGGAGGCUUUGAAGUGUGGACGCCAGUCUGCAUGGAGCCGACCUUGAAAUACCACCCUUUAAUGUUUGAUGUUCUAACGUUGGCCCCUAAUCGGGGUUGCGGACAGUGUCUGGUGGGUAGUUUGACUGGGGCGGUCUCCUCCUAAAGAGUAACGGAGGAGCACGAAGGUUGGCUAAUCCUGGUCGGACAUCAGGAGGUUAGUGCAAUGGCAUAAGCCAGCUUGACUGCGAGCGUGACGGCGCGAGCAGGUGCGAAAGCAGGUCAUAGUGAUCCGGUGGUUCUGAAUGGAAGGGCCAUCGCUCAACGGAUAAAAGGUACUCCGGGGAUAACAGGCUGAUACCGCCCAAGAGUUCAUAUCGACGGCGGUGUUUGGCACCUCGAUGUCGGCUCAUCACAUCCUGGGGCUGAAGUAGGUCCCAAGGGUAUGGCUGUUCGCCAUUUAAAGUGGUACGCGAGCUGGGUUUAGAACGUCGUGAGACAGUUCGGUCCCUAUCUGCCGUGGGCGCUGGAGAACUGAGGGGGGCUGCUCCUAGUACGAGAGGACCGGAGUGGACGCAUCACUGGUGUUCGGGUUGUCAUGCCAAUGGCACUGCCCGGUAGCUAAAUGCGGAAGAGAUAAGUGCUGAAAGCAUCUAAGCACGAAACUUGCCCCGAGAUGAGUUCUCCCUGACUCCCUGAGAGUCCUGAAGGAACGUUGAAGACGACGACGUUGAUAGGCCGGGUGUGUAAGCGCAGCGAUGCGUUGAGCUAACCGGUACUAAUGAACCGUGAGGCUUAACCUUACAACGCCGAAG
rnacentral:rRNA from 1 species